GACAGAGGGUGCAAACGUUGCUCGGAAUUACUGGGCGUAAAGCGCGUGUAGGCGGUUUCGCAAGUCAGGUGUGAAAGCCCAGGGCUCAACCCUGGAAGUGCACAUGAUACUACGGAGCUUGAGUACUGAAGAGGAGAGCGGAAUUCCCGGUGUAGAGGUGAAAUUCGUAGAGAUCGGGAGGAACACCAGUGGCGAAGGCGGCACCCUGGAUCAGCACUGACACUCAGGCACGAAAGCGUGGGGAGCAAACAGG
rnacentral:rRNA from 1 species